rnacentral:rRNA from 1 species
ACUCCUACGGGAGGCAGCAGUGGGGAAUUUUGCGCAAUGGGGGAAACCCUGAUUCAGCAACGCCGCGUGGGUGAUGAAGGCCUUCGGGUCGUAAAGCUCUGUCUGGAGGGAAGAAAUGAUUGGGAGUCUAUACCUCUUGAUCUUGACGGCACCUCAGANGGAAGCACCGUCUAAUCUU